CAAUUUUUGACCAAGUCAAAACAGCUUCCAUUCCUUCUUAUUUUCAUCCAGCUUAACCGAAAGCCAAUUUCCCCUUUCUUCACUUCAUGUUGGAGUCGAGAGAGAGAAGAGAGUUGAGAAAAACAAAAUUCAUCGUCUCCUUCUUAUCAUCAGCCAAGAGUUAAGGCUGAUUUAGCCAUGGUAAUUCCACAAAAUCUCCCUAUUUCGUCAAGCCUAAACCAUGAGUGAGAAAGAGACAAGAAAGCCAUAUUGGGAGGUGAAGAAAACGGAGGAAACCU
rnacentral:lncRNA from 1 species